GGGGAUUUAGCUCAGUGGUAGAGCGCCUGCCUAGCAAGCACAAGGCCCUGGGUUCGGUCCCCAGCUUCG
rnacentral:tRNA from 1 species